rnacentral:pre_miRNA from 1 species
CAAAGAAAGAUGCUAAACUAUUUUUGCGAUAUGUUCCUAAUAUGUUAUAUAAGUAUAUUGGGAACAUUUUGCAUCUAUAGUUUUGUAUCAAUACAUGAGG